GACGAACGCUGGCGGCGUGCUUAACACAUGCAAGUCGAACGGAAAGGCCCUGCUUUUGUGGGGUGCUCGAGUGUCGAACGGGUGAGUAACACGUGAGUAACCUGCCCUUGACUUUGGGAUAACUUCAGGAAACUGGGGCUAAUACCGGAUAGGAGCUCCUGCUUCAUGGUGGGGGUUGUAAAGUUUCGGCGGUUGGGGAUGGACUCGCGGCUUAGCAUCUUGUUGGUGGGGUAGUGGCUUACCAAGUCUUUGACGGGUAGCCGGCCUGGGAGGGUGACCGGGCCAAGUGGGAAACGGGAGGCGGCAGGAAGGACUAGGGGGGAAGGAGGGGGGAAAUAUGCAAGAAAGGCGGAAGCAGGAUGCAGCAACGCCGCGUGCGGGAUGACGGCCUUAGGGUUGUAAACCGCUUUCGCCUGUGAAGAAGAGUGAGUGACGGUAAUGGGUAAAGAAGCACCGGCUAACUACGUG
rnacentral:rRNA from 1 species